rnacentral:tRNA from 1 species
UUUAAUAUGGCAGAAUUCAGUGCAAUGAACUUAAGAUUCAUAUAUAAAAUAAUUUUUUAUUAAAA